CAGCCGCCGCGGGAAUACGAAGGGUGCAAGCGUUACUCGGAAUUACUGGGCGUAAAGCGUGCGUAGGUGGUGGUUUAAGUCCGUUGUGAAAGCCCUGGGCUCAACCUGGGAAUUGCAGUGGUUACUGGGUCACUAGAGUGUGGUAGAGGAUAGUGGAAUUUCCGGUGUAGCAGUGAAAUGCGUAGAGAUCGGAAGGAACAUCUGUGGCGAAGGCGACUAUCUGGGCCAACACUGACACUGAGGCACGAAAGCGUGGGGAGCAAACAGGAUUAGAUACCCCUGUAGUCCCUGUCUCUUAUAC
rnacentral:rRNA from 1 species